AUUGAACACUGGCGGCAGGCCUAACACAUGUAAGUCGAACGAGUGGCGGACGGGUGAGUAAUGUCUGGGAAACUGCCCGCUGGAGGGGGAUAACUACUGGAAACAGGAGCUAAUACCGCAUUCCAUCGGCUGCGCCCAGAGGGGAUUAGCGAGUAGGUGGGGUAACGGCUCACCUAGGGGACGAUCCCUAGCUGGUCUGAGAGGAUGACCAGCCACACGGGAACUGAGACACGGUCCAGACUCCUACGGGAGGCAGCAGUGGGGAAUAUGGCACAAUGGGCGCAAGCCGGAUGCAGCCAUGCCGCGUGUAUGAAGAAGGCCUUCGGGUUGUAAAGUACUUUCAGCGAGGAGGCGUUACUCGCAGAAGAAGCACCGGCUAACUCCGUGCCAGCAGCCGCGGUAAUAC
rnacentral:rRNA from 1 species